rnacentral:lncRNA from 1 species
UCCCUCAAACAGCAAUGCCAUAUUACGACAUAAAUACUGACAUGACAUGAUUACCUCAAAUAAGAACCAAAUCAGCUGACUCCAUCGACAAUAAUAAUGCUUUAGUACUUCACAAAAGAGUUUCUUCGGACGUUUCUUGAUGCAAAGUCAUUAAGGACAAUAACAAUAUCAACAUUGUCCAAGAUACCUUCUCAAGAACCCUUCUCCGAUUCAAUGUUCAGACCGCUUUCUUUUCUUUUUCCCCUUUCAUGAGCACCCAACAAAUGCUUCUUAUUAAACAUUGUAAGCCAGGCUAAUGUCCUAAAAUUAUGAAGAGGAUGCAAAAUAUUAGAAACUUAUACAACAAAACCCAAAUCGUGUACAAUAAAAUUAGGGUUGUGGUCUUGGGGAUGGAUAAAUUAAUACGUACAGCCUACUCUUGGUCUCGCGGAUGCCGAACGGCGAAUAGCCGGGUCGCCCGCACGACGGACGCCGGACGGUGCACACAUGCCUGACGGGGUGACGGCGCACAGGGACUCAAGAACGGCGGCGACCGAGCCGAGCGACGGUUGAGCGGCG